AUUGAACGCUGGCGGCAUGCCUUACACAUGCAAGUCGAACGGUAACAGGUCUUCGGAUGCUGACGAGUGGCGAACGGGUGAGUAAUACAUCGGAACGUGCCUAGUAGUGGGGGAUAACUACUCGAAAGAGUGGCUAAUACCGCAGAGAUCUACGGAAGAAAGCAGGGGAUUGCAAGACCUUGUGCUACUAGAGCGGCCGAUGGCAGAUUAGGUAGUUGGUGGGAUAAAAGCUUACCAAGCCGACGAUCUGUAGCUGGUCUGAGAGGACGAUCAGCCACACUGGGACUGAGACACGGCCCAGACUCCUACGGGAGGCAGCAGUGGGGAAUUUUGGACAAUGGGCGAAAGCCUGAUCCAGCAAUGCCGCGUGCAGGAUGAAGGCCUUCGGGUUGUAAACUGCUUUUGUACGGAACGAAAAGCCCCGGGUUAAUACCCUGGGGUCAUGACGGUACCGUAAGAAUAAGCACCGGCUAACUACGUGCCAGCCGCCGCGGUAA
rnacentral:rRNA from 1 species